GGGCGGAUGUGCAAUCUUCACCUGUUUAUUCGGUAGAGGGUGCCAUCUUCAGGUAGCCCUUCACGUUGUACAGAAAACAAUGGAGACUUCUCCUCCUGGGGCAGCUCAGAUAACAAGUGCCACUUCCAGGCUAAAGGAAUCCACUCAGCAAACUCCCAGUAUGAAUGUUUCUGCUCUCGGCUGGAGAAACAGAAGAAGCAUUAAUGAAGGAGAGGGAUUCUACAGCCGCACAGUCCAAUAAAACUUUCUGUGGGGAUGGAAAUGAUCCAUUAUCUGUGCUCCCCAAUAUGCCAGUUGCUAGCUCCAAUUAGCUACCAAGCACCUAAAAUGUGGCUAGCGCAGCUGAGAAACAGAGCCUUUCAUUUUAUUUCACUUUAAUUAAAGAGUUCUAGAGCUCUUGCCUCUAGAGCAGUGCUUUUUAG
rnacentral:lncRNA from 10 species